rnacentral:rRNA from 1 species
GACGAACGCUGGCGGCGUGCUUAACACAUGCAAGUCGAACGGUGAAGGGGUCUGCUUUUGUGGGCCCUGGAUGAGUGGCGAACGGGUGAGUAACACGUGAGUAACCUGCCCCCUUCUUCUGGAUAACCGCAUGAAAGUGUGGCUAAUACGGGAUAUUCUGGGUCUGUCGCAUGAUGGGUCUGGGAAAGAUUGCGCCUUUGGGUGUUUUUGGUGGGGGAUGGGCUCGCGGCCUAUCAGCUUGUUGGUGGGGUGAUGGCCUACCAAGGCGGUGACGGGUAGCCGGCCUGAGAGGGUGGACGGUCACACUGGGACUGAGACACGGCCCAGACUCCUACGGGAGGCAGCAGUGGGGAAUAUUGCACAAUGGGCGCAAGCCUGAUGCAGCGACGCCGCGUGAGGGAGGGAGGCCUUCGGGUUGUAAACCUCUUUCGCCAGUGAAGCAGGCCUGCUCCGUGUGGGUGGGUUGACGGUAGCUGGAUAAGAAGCGCCGGCUAACUACGUG